GCCUGGGUGGCUCAGACGAUUAAGCGUCUGACUUCAACUCAGGUCAUUUUCUCGCGGUUUGUGAGUUCAAGCCCCACGUCGGGCU
rnacentral:tRNA from 1 species